CCCAGACCUCAUUUAAGGGCUGGCAGUAGAAGUAAAGACAGCUUGUUGGGGAAUCUAUGUGUACCUAGGGCCUUCUCAAGGGAAGGCCAAAUGUCCGAUGCAGAAACUCAGAUACUUUCCUGGUAACUCAGAGCAAGGAAGAAGCCUGUUCUCAGCCAGUCUUGCAAGUAGAAUUUUCUGAAGGGAAGGAAUAUGGCAAACAGUGAAGUGUCCUUGUUCAACAUGGAAAUUAGACAACCACAGAGGAUGAAAUGGGUCUAAGUAGGUCAAGUGCCAGAAUGAGGUCUGAGCUGAGAAGUCCAAGACAAAUGUUUUUUCUGAGGGAUCUGCAGCAGCUGCACAACAGUUGGCCCUAAACAGCAUGCUUCAGUUCUGGCUUCUGGCACGGAAAGUGCUGCUCAUGGACUUUGAACAGCUACCCACAAAAUGGAGUGCCAGGACACAGUUUCAGGCGUGAAUGGACAAGAAGAAAGGCCAUAUGAGGACACCAAGAAACCAAACGUAUCUUGAGAGAUCUGAAAUGAAACUGGGAGAAGCUGGAGCUGGACAACACCUUUGUUUCCUUCACACAAGGGGCUGGAGAAACAAGCUUCACGGUGCAGCUCAUGUGGUUACUCAGAACGUAACCACCACUUAAUUUUGAUUUGGGCAGAUCAAAUUUGAGCUCAGCAAAGUAAGGACAUGGAACUAUAUAUUAUCAUGCUAAGUUUGCGGACUGCACUCUCAAUUCAUAUAAUCUGCUCAUCUUUCCCAUGCAAAUUACUCAACACCAUUUUUGCAAUGCAACCUCGGGUGAAGCCAAACGCUCCGUGGCACCCACCUCAGCAGCGCCAGUAAAGGCACGGGGACCUCACACUGCCGAGAGUUACUCAGGGAAACUUUCAGAACCAGGCGCUCACACAAAAGUGUACCGAGGGAAGCCUGGUUCACCACCAGAAGCCCUCCGCCAUUCACGUCCC